rnacentral:rRNA from 1 species
GACGAACGCUGGCGGCGUGCUUAACACAUGCAAGUCGAACAGAAAGGCCCUGCUUUUGUGGGGUGCUCGAGUGGCGAACGGGUGAGUAACACGUGAGUAACCUGCCCUUGACUUUGGGAUAACUUCAGGAAACUGGGGCUAAUACCGGAUAGGAGCUCCUGCUGCAUGGUGGGGGUUGGAAAGUUUCGGCGGCUGGGGAUGGACUCGCGGCUUAUCAGCUUGUUGGUGGGGUAGUGGCUUACCAAGGCUUUGACGGGUAGCCGGCCUGAGAGGGUGACCGGCCACAUUGGGACUGAGAUACGGCCCAGACUCCUACGGGCGGCAGCAGUGGGGAAUAUUGCACAAUGGGCGGAAGCCUGAUGCAGCAACGCCGCGUGCGGGAUGACGGCCUUCGGUUUGUAAACCGCUUUCGCCUGUGACGAAGCGUGAGUGACGGUAAUGGGUAAAGAAGCACCGGCUAGCUACGUG